ACCAACCCCCUUUUUCCGAAUUCAUAUACAACUCUAAUCUAUGUCUUAUGUAAUGAAUUGGAUGGUUUUUGAGAUUGAAACAAUUUAUAACAAUCGUUCCUCAGAAAAAUCUCUAUGAAAAGGCCGAAGGGUUCGGGGUUCUGGAGAGGGUUAGAGACAGUGAUUUCAGGUUGAAUUUGAAGGGGGAAAUUUUGGCUACCUCGGUGGCCGCUGAUGCGGAGAUGCAGGGGUGGUUGUGGAGGUGGUGAUGCUCAAUGUGAAGUGCGUGUCGAAGGAGCAGAGUAAGGGAUUUGAGGAUCAUAGGAGGGUUCUUAGGUUGGUGGAGGAGAUCAGACCUUGGUUCAGGUGGAAAUGUAUAACAAAUGAACUGAGUUUGUUGGAAUAAUCUCUUUCGCGCUAAUAAAUGUUGAUAAAGAGGUGCUAUUCUUUUGCACGACAUAGCAAGAGAUCAGAAUGUAGUUCACGAUUUCUGUCAGGUUAUGGCACAUUCUGCUUUUGACUGUUAAGCUUUAUGCAACGAUUUCUAAAGCCCACGGUCAUUGGGAUAUCCUUGGGUGUCGGUAUCGACGGGUCCAAAUCUACAAAAAUGUGCAAAAGCCAACUGCUGUUCUAGUCUAUGAUUUCAUGCUAUGACAUUGUUGCAGACAGAAAAUUUUGCUCCUUAAACUGAUGUCUCUUUUGGGGAGAGGAAGAUGAUUUGAACAUUUUACAAACUCUGGUUGAAAUCUAUAUGAUUUCAUGGACAAAUGCACGCAUAAAAACAAAUGAAAUUAAGAAAUGAAAACUAAAAGAUAUUUUCAUAUACCAAAUAGAGCCUAACCUAUUGUUCAGCGGUUUUCACUUAAAUUAGCUGACUGAAUUUAGAAAUCUCUGCGUGCAGAUGCCUCCUUGAGAGAACAUUCCUACACCAAAGGGAUCAGGAAGUCUGGUAUGCCUUCUUUAGGUAGCACAUGUUCUAUACACUGUGGAAGUCAGCACCAUCAAGGGCAAGCCUUGCAGAUUGUGGCUUCCUUCCCUUUAAAGAUCCCUUGUUAAAUCUCAGUGGUGAUCUACGCGUUACCCAAGUUGUGUUUGAGAGCUGGUUCGGCCAUCAAAACUUGGAAAUGGUCCCUUGUUUCUGAUAUAAGAUCUUAAAAGAGUUCAGGAGUUGGCUACAGUCUUGAAAAGCCUUAUCUCUGUAUAUAUUUGGGCCACAUCAGAUUUUAUGAAUUUUUCACGGCAGGCUGUUGAAUAGAUUUGAUGUCCGGUUGUGUACAAGAGAAUAGUGAAUUUCCAAACUUGAGAUCCGAAACUUAGAAAAGUAUGCUGCUCUCUCCUGAGGAAUGCUGCUGCAACUCGUUUUUUCUGAAUGGCUCUUACAAUCCACGAGGUACUCCACCAUCCUACCCUUCAGCAGCUUCCCUAGCCAUUAUGGUAAAUCCGUGGAGUAACUGGCAGUGAGAUUGACAGAUCCAGGGAGGCCGUGCUUGAAUAAUUGUACCCAAAAAAAGAUAGGGUCACCCGUGGGACAGGCCUUCUGAUGAUGCCUGUUUAUGUUUCACUUGGGCCAACUUUUAUUUGG